rnacentral:tRNA from 2 species
UCCUGGUUAGCUCAAUCGGUAGAGCGCUCCGCUGGAAAUGAAGACGCCCCUGGUUCGAAUCUAGGACCAGGCG